ensembl:lncRNA
AUGAAUAACCACCACGCUGCGCUUUGGUCCGCUUCUCUUCCUCCUACAGACGAACGCCCUUACAGAAUCACCCACCACCAACGGACCAAGCAGCGUGUUAACAGACAGGAGCCACAGGAGAGGCAACAGAGGCAGCAGCAGCAGGAGCAGCAGCAGCUGCAGUGGGAGAGGCUGCACCACCUGGAGAAAUGGACAUGGGAGGAAGAACUGGACGGUAAAGGACCCUGGGCUCAGCCCGGAGAAUAUCGCCGCCCCAAGGAAGAACUGGAGGCGGCGAAAGCUGAGAGGCGCAGAUAUGAGGAGGCAGCACGGCGUAGCGGAUGGAAGCCCGGGAGUCAGCCCCAAAAAUUUCUUGGGGGGGGGCUAACAGGGAGUAUGGCUACGCCAGGUAGGAGACCUGAGCCAACUUCCUGUGGUUACCGGGGGGCUAGAGAGACCGGGCAGGCACCGUGUUAUGCUGUGGAGCGCACGGUGUCCCCAGUGCGGGUGCACAGCCCGGUGCGGUACAUUCCAGCUCCGCGUAUCGGCCGGGCUAGAGUGGGCAUCGAGCCAAGUGCCAUGAAGCCGGCUCUACGCAUCUGGUCUCCAGUGCGUCUCCUUGGGCCGGCUUACAUGGCACCAGCCUUGCGCACGGUGUCCCCGGUUCGCCUGCAUAGCCCAGUGCGGGCUAUUCCACCUCGCCGCACUGGCAGGGCGACCGGGACCAUUCAACCGGGUAAGGUUGGGCAGGCUCGGUGCUCAAGAGCUCCAGUGCGCCUGCACGGCCCGGUCUAUCCGUCACCACCUCCACACCCCAGCCCUCCGGUGGCAGCUCCCCGUACCAGGCUGUCUCUCCGGCCCAUCCGUCCAGAGCCUUCCUCCUCUCCAGCGCUGCCGGAGUCUCCCGCCUCUCCGGCGCUACCAGAGCCUUCAUCCUCUCCAGCGCUGCCGGAGCCUCCCGCCUGUCCGGCGCCUCUGCCGGAGCCUCCCGCCUGUCCGGCGCCUCUGCCGGAGUCUCCCGCCUGCCCGGCGCCGCUGCCGGAGCCUCCCGCCUGUCCGGCGCCGCUGCCGGAGCCUCCCGCCUGUCCGGCGCCUCUGCCGGAGCCUCCCGCCUGUCCGGCGCCUCUGCCGGAGCCUCCCGCCUGUCCGGCGCCUCUGCCGGAGCCUCCCGCCUGUCCGGCGCCUCUGCCGGAGCCUCCCGCCUGUCCGGCGCCUCUGCCGGAGCCUCCCGCCUGUCCGGCGCCGCUGCCGGAGUCUCCCGCCUCUCCGGCGCUACCAGGGCCUUCCUUUUCUCCAGCGUUGCCGGAGCUUCCCGUCUGCCCAGCGCCAGCUGAGCUUCCCGUCUGCCCAGCGCCGCCAACGCCGCCCGUCUGCCCGGCGCCGCCAACGCCGCCCGUCUGCCCGGCGCCGCCAACGCCGCCCGUCUGCCCGGCGCCGCCAACGCCGCCCGUCUGCCCGGCGCCGCCAACGCCGCCCGUCUGCCCGGCGCCGCCAACGCCGCCCGUCUGCCCGGCGCCGCCAACGCCGCCCGUCUGCCCGGCGCCGCCAACGCCGCCCGUCUGCCCGGCGCCGCCAACGCCGCCCGUCUGCCCGGCGCCGCCCGUCUGCCAGGGGCCGCCAGUGCCGCCCGUCUGCCAGGGGCCGCCAGUGCCGCCAGUCAGCCAGGGGCCGCCAGUGCCGCCAGUCAGCCAGGGGCCGCCAGUGCCGCCAGUCAGCCAGGGGCCGCCAGUCAGCCAGGGGCCGCCAGUCAGCCAGGGGCCGCCAGUGCCGCCAGUCAGCCAGGGGCCGCCAGUGCCGCCAGUAAGCCAGGGGCCGCCAGUCAGCCAGGGGCCGCCAGUAAGCCAGGGGCCGCCAGUGCCGCCAGUAAGCCAGGGGCCGCCAGUGCCGUCAGUCAGCCAGGGGCCGCCCGAGCAGCUGCCCCUCUGUCCAGAGCAGCUGUCGCCCCUCUGUCCCAAGCUGCUGCCGCCCCUCUGUCCCGAGCUGCUGUCCCUCUGUCCCGAGCAGCUGCCCCUCUGUCCCGAGCAGCUGCCGCCCCUCUGUCCCGAGCUGCUAUCGCCCCUCUGUCCCGAACUGCUAUCGCCCCUCUGUCCCGAGCAGCUAUCGCCCCUCUGUCCCGAGCUGCUAUCGCCCCUCUGUCCCGAGCUGCUAUCGCCCCUCUGUCCCGAGCUGCUAUCGCCCCUCUGUCCCGAGCUGCUAUCGCCCCUCUGUCCCGAGCUGCUGCCGCCCCUCUGUCCCGAGCAGCUGCUCCUCUGUCCCGAGCAGUUGUCCCUCUGUCCCGAGCAGCUGUUUCACCUCUGUCCCGAGCUGCCCCUCUGUCCCAAGCAGCCCCUCUGUCCAGUGGGGUCAUUGAGAGGGGUGGCCAUGGUGAGAAGGCCACGGAGGCGGACAAUAAGGCGGACUAAGACAAUGGUGAAGUGGGGUCCGCGUCCCGCGCCAGAGCCGCCACCGCGGACAGACGCCCACCCAGACCCUCCCCUAUAG